rnacentral:rRNA from 1 species
UACGGAGGGGGCUAGCGUUGUUCGGAAUUACUGGGCGUAAAGCGCGCGUAGGCGGCUUUGUAAGUUAGAGGUGAAAGCCCGGGGCUCAACUCCGGAACUGCCUUUAAGACUGCAUCGCUUGAAUCCGGGAGAGGUGAGUGGAAUUCCGAGUGUAGAGGUGAAAUUCGUAGAUAUUCGGAAGAACACCAGUGGCGAAGGCGACUCACUGGACACGUAUUGACGCUGAGGUGCGAAAGCGUGGGGAGCAAACAGG